rnacentral:tRNA from 1 species
GUCACGAUAGCUCAAGUGGUAAAGCAGCGGCGUAUGAAGCCGAAGAUCGUGGGUUCGAAUCCCGCUCGUGCCA